UGGGGAAUAUUGGACAAUGGGCGAAAGCCUGAUCCAGCCAUGCCGCGUGUGUGAAGAAGGUCUUCGGAUUGUAAAGCACUUUAAGUUGGGAGGAAGGGCAUUAACCUAAUACGUUAGUGUUUUGACGUUACCGACAGAAUAAGCACCGGCUAACUCUGUGCCAGCAGCCGCGGUAAUACAGAGGGUGCAAGCGUUAAUCGGAAUUACUGGGCGUAAAGCGCGCGUAGGGGGUUUGAUAAGUUGGAUGUGAAAUCCCCGGGCUCAACCGGGGAACUGCAUGUAAAACUGACUGACUAGAGUAUGGUAGAGGGUGGUGGAAUUUCCUGUGUAGCGGUGAAAUGCGUAGAUAUAGGAAGGAACACCAGUGGCGAAGGCGACCACCUGGACUAAUACUGACACUGAGGUGCGAAAGCGUGGGGAGCAAACA
rnacentral:rRNA from 1 species